GGUUACGCAGUUGGGACAUCACUGGGGUCCGCGUCGCUGCUAUGCAGCGGCAGGCGCUGGGAGUGACCAAGUGCUCAGCUGAUUUGGUUGCCUGCGUCUCACUGUUGGAAGUGGGGGAUUAUUUGGGGAGGGCUCCUGGUUUUGUGUAUUUUUGAGAAGAACGUAGAUAGUCCUUUCCUGGAACGGGAGAGCGGCCCGGUCCUAGUGCCGGCUAAUACUAGGGGCUGUGGAGCGGACGGAGGUUGUGGCCCUACCUAAGCGUGACCUCGCUCCGCGAAGCCGCCCGCGGGGCGCUGAUGGCCGAACGCAUUCUGGGAAAGACUUUAGCCACGGUGUCUCUCUCUCUGGCCUUGGCCUCUGUGACUGUCAAGUCCUCGGGCUGUUGCAGCAUUCCGGCGUGCAGAAACUCAUUUUUAUCCUGUGGGUUUCAUCUUAACUCCAACAUCAUGUCUAGUUCUAAUGGUGCCAAAGAGAAUUCGCACAACAAGGCUCGAACAUCUCCGUAUCCUGGUUCAAAAGUCCAACGCAGCCAGGUUCCAAAUGAGAAAGUAGGAUGGUUUGUUGAGUGGCAAGACUAUAAUCCCGUGGAAUACACUGCUGUCUCUGUCUUGGCAGGACCCAGGUGGGCCGAUCCUCAGAUCAGUGAAAGUAACUUCUUUCCCAAGUUUAAUGAAAAGGAUGGGCAUGUUGAGAGAAAGAGCCAGAAUGGUCUAUAUGAGAUUGAAAAUGGAAGACCCAGAAAUCCUGCAGGACGGACAGGACUGAUUGGCCGGGGGCUUUUGGGGCGAUGGGGCCCAAAUCAUGCUGCAGAUCCCAUCAUAACCAGGUGGAAAAGGGAUAGAAGUGGAAAUAAAAUUACCCACCCUGUUUCUGGGAAAAACAUCUUACAGUUUGUGGCAAUAAAAAGGAAAGACUGUGGAGAAUGGGCAAUCCCAGGGGGGAUGGUGGACCCAGGAGAGAAGAUUAGUACUACACUGAAAAGAGAAUUUGGUGAGGAAGCUCUCAACUCCUUACAGAAAUCCAGUGCAGAAAAGAGAGAAUUAGAGGAACAGUUGCACAAACUCUUCAGCCAGGAACAUCUAGUGAUAUAUAAAGGAUAUGUCGAUGAUCCUCGAAACACUGAUAAUGCAUGGAUGGAGACAGAAGCUGUGAACUACCAUGAUGAAACAGAUGCCAAGCUGUGAGCAGUCCUAUGGAGAGGACCACAUGGUGAGGAAAUGGAGUCUUCCAGCAGUAGCCAUGUGGGCGAGUUCAGAGGAGAUCCUAAGAUAGAACUGUCCAGAUAAACAACUCCUAGAUUCCUGAUCCUUGGAAAAUGUGAACUUAUGAGAAGACAGAGGCAAAGAGUGUGUAAGGUAAAACACUAGAGAGUGCCCGGAUGCAAGUCCUGGUAGACGCCUCAGAAUCCCCCUGGAUAACCACUGUACUGUGGUACAAUGCGAAGAUGGGAGGAGCCGGCAGGAACUCGGAAAAUGGAUUUAUUCUGGGCUGUGCAGUAUGUGCUUUGAAGUGAGGUUAUUUCUAUCUCUCUUCCUUUGCCUUCCCAGUAGUUCUCCCCCCGCACUCCAGAGUAAACUGGUCACUGUUUUAGUAGCUUUCUUGUUCAUUUUCUUAACACCUAUUCAUCGAAUCUCUAAAGAAAACAUUUAGCUACUCCAAUUGUUGAGUACAUAGUUGAUUGCAUAAUAGGAAGGAAACAAGCCAAGACUGGAGACUUCAUUUCUAAAGAAGGAUUUUAGAGCAGACUAAGAGUUAUUUCACAGAGUGGGUCAUGAAACUCAGUCUCUCUAUACCCUUUCAUCUCUAUGACGACAGGCUGCUCCUGCUACAUGUAGCCAGAAAAAGCAGCUGACAUUUCAAUGCUAGGAGCACAGGGGGAGAGGUUUACAAAAACAAAAAACAAAACCCAAACCCUUUCGUUUGAAUUUCAGUUAGAAAGGAAAAAAUACCCCUGGAGCAAGUCAAAACCCCUAUUCUUGCCUUUAGAAAAGAUAAGAAAGGAGAAAUGUUGGGGGCCUUCUCCCCUGUCCAACUAGGCCAAUAAAACAGAAUCAACUGCAAAGCAGCAUUUCAUCUCACUCUCUUAAUGGCAAUCUGAAACAGAAAACUCCCUUUGGUUUCAUUUGACUUGGUCCUUAAGAAGAAACUAAUUGAUGAAGCAGUAAAGACUCACAGUAAUAAAUACUUCAUGUUGAGCACCCCCCCCCCCCAGGGGAGUACAGUAGAUUCAGAUUUAUUUUUCCAUUCCUUUGGAUAAAAAAAAAGACAAUUCAAAGAAUAUUUCCUUCUCAACCCCCAAUUUUGUUAUCUGAAAAAUCAUUUCAAGUGUAUAACUGAAUACUUUCUCACGCUGUGCCACUCUGCCAGGUGCUACACUUGGUAUUUUAAAAACAUCUCAUUUAACUCCUACAACAACUGCAUUUGUGGGUAUUAUUAUCACUGCUUGCUUAAUAGAUGGGUAAACUAAGAAACCUUGAGAGAAAACCGAAAGUAAAUUCCUUUUUACAGUGUUCCAGUUGGGACACCUAGGUAGGGUGGUGUUUUCAUUAUUAGCUAUGAUUAACUGAUUGCUUCAUAUGCACCAGGCAUAGGUGUUUUCUUGACUUAAUUAUCAUAACAAAUCUCUGAAAUGGCAAAUAAUUUUAUGAUCCUCAUUUCCACAGAUGAGGGGACUGAGGCUCAAAGACUCAUUUGUCCAAAGUCACAGAGCCUGGUAAAGCCCAGGUAUAAGCCACGUCUGUGUGUUUCCAGAAUUCAUGGUCUUACUUUAUUACACCAUCUCCUACAAUUAUUAGAGACCGCACAUUCUGUCCCCCAGAGUUCUGUGUACCUUUUGAUGCCCAACACAAAAACCAGGCCCAGGUGGUAUUACCAGUGCAAGCUCAGCCUUUGGCAGAAGAUGUCCUGUGGGCCUUGUGUGAACCAGACCCCAGCUUAGCUGGGCAUCUCUUGGGGAGCCAGGUCUACUGGGGAAGUUCUCCUGGACUUAUGGGGCCCCUUUCCCCUUCACUGAAGGCUGUUCCAGAAGGACAUGUAAAGGAAAAGGGCACCUGAAGUCUUUUAACAGCAGUUGUUUAUGUUUUUCUUGGUGGAAAAAGCAUAAACAAACAAAUGUUUGUAUACUGUUAUUAAAUGGAAUAAAAAUAAUAGUCAAGAGAAAAUGAAAUGAAUAGUGUUCUGGAGUUGUCUAGAGACAUCACUAUUCAUUUCAUUCUUGUCAUCAGUAUUUAUUUUUAUGUAGUUGAUAAGUGAAGUUGCACAUGAGAAAGUACUGGGGACUGAACCCCAAAAGACCUGGAGAAGAAACCUCAGGAAUUGCUAAACAGGUGUACAGAAAUUCCAUAAAAGGAAAAAGGCAAGAUUCAUGAAUAACACGUACGCAUUCUUUUUAAAAAUUUGGGAAGUAGCAUUAGUUGAUUGGAUGAUAAGUAGAUGAAACAGACUGAUUGCUCUUCUUUGCUAGAUCUGGUUGAAUGAAUAGAAAUAUAAACUUAAAUCUUUCCUAAGAGGGGUGUCCUUUUUUUAAACAGUCAUGGUUAACAAUAGUCACUACCACCAAAGUUUAGAUGAGUAAGCUCCGAACUCAAAAAAAGUUGGUAUCCAAGAGAGAGGGGAGAAUUUAUUAAAAAGAUUUUUGCUGAGUUGGAUCGAGUGAACAUUUCUAUUCAGUGCAGUCAGGCAGUGGGCCAGAGGAAAGCUCAGACACAAUGCCAAGGUGACAUAUUUAACCUCUUUGAAGAUUAAAGGCAGUGCAAAAGAGACAGUCUUUCCUCAGUACCGCUUGGUUAUAGUAUCAACAGUACCCAUCUACAGUUGAAAGGAUGGUUUUCUCCUGCAGGGGGACCUCUAAUACCUAGGAGGAAUGAGUGAGCAUGAUGUACAUUAUUGUUUUAUUCUAGUAGAGCCAGAAUGAUAAUACCGUAUGAUAUAGAAUUUGCCAUAAUCUCCUCAGCUCUCUGGUUUCCCUACCUCCUUCCCUCCCCAAGUAGGACAUCAUCAGGAAUUAGAUAAAUUUUAUGUGUGUGCACCUUAAAAAACAAUGGAGGGAGACAAGAGACAGCUAGUCAUAAAAGUAUAAAAGGGAAUUAGGAAAGGAAUAAUAGUCUUAAUAACUAAAAAACAAUAAAAGAAGAUUAUAGUAGUGCAGCAAUUUUCCUGCCUUUUGGAAAAGCAAAAUGUUCCAUGUCUAUAUUGCUGGUAGGUACACACUGGGACAGUGGUGCUGAUGAAAUAAUUUCAGAUAAUUUAAACAUGGAAAACAUACAUGUUACUUUGAUUUGAAAGUUCUUUUUUAAACUACUUCCCUUAUGAUUUACUUAAUAUACUCAGUAAAAUAUUUCUAUAAAACACAUUUCCAGAUUCAGACUUCACCAAGAUCUGAAUGCUAAUCUGGCCAAAAACAGUUCUACAUUUGUGUUCUUGGUCUUCAUUAAAACCAUCAUUUAUUACUACUUACUAUAUAAUCUUGAAGAAGAAAAGGAAACAUGAAUACAAGAGUUAAAAUUUCUUACUAAGUAGCUUUUCUGUAAAUCACACAAAAGUUUGUUUUUUGGUUUUUUUUUUGUAAAUAAAUGGCUUUGUCUUAGGAAAAAAAUACUAGACAUCUUCAUUGGAUCAUGCAGUGUAGUAUAACAAAUGCAAUUAGAUGAUAUAGUAAACUUAUUAAAAUUUACCUUCAGGUAGGUGGCUGGACCCAGAGCCUCGAUACAAAAUUGCAGUUGAAUCCUCUCUUUGCACACAGCCAAGAAAUAAAAGUUUGACAAAUACCUAAUACACUUUAAAAAAUCUCUUCCCUCAUUAGCUCUGCUUCUCUGCCCAGACACACAUUCGAGUCUGUUGGAGUUGAAAUUCUGCUGCUCUGUCAACUAGUCAGGGUCUGAGGUGACAGACAAAUGUGGAGGUUGGCACUGGGGGUAUUUCAGGCUGUCAUCGUUUUUGUUGCAGAUUCCUGCAGUUCUCCGGCAGGCUGGCCUCUCCGAGGGCGCGAGGAGCUUUCCAGGCAGUGCAAGCCAACAGGGAAAGAGCUCAUUCUGCCAGAGAGACUAUGGGGUUAACAGUCCUCCCCUCAAGCUCUUGUUCUCAGAAGCUAAUAACUUGGCCAGAAGAGAAGCACGUGGCUCUUCAUGCUUUUUUUUUUUUUCCCCUUUUUCAAACAACUCUAAAAGCAAGCAGGAUCCCUUUUUUGGGGAUUUUUUAUUUUAAGACUUUGAAAAGAAACUCUGUUGUUUCUUAAAGGAAAUUGAGGGGGGGGGUUAAGGAAGGGGAGAAGAAUAAUUGCAGCAGAUGCAUUUUUAAAUUUUUUAAUUGGAAACUGUCUCACGAAUAUACUCUCGAUUUUAAUCAUAGCAGGGUACUUCAGAUACUUCAAACUUUCUUUAAAUGACCUUCAGGGAUUUAUGUAUAUAUGAAGCAUCACUCAUUCAUAUUAUAGAUCACUUGUAUGCUGAUUCAGAAACCUUUGCGGUUCACAGACUAUUAUUCUCCCCACACAACUCCCUACUAACCGUCCUCCCUCCCCCCUCCCCGUAUAAUGACUGAUCUGUUAAGAAACUUUCUCAUGAAACAGACUGGCGUUAUGCAUUUAUUUUUGACUUGGCAUUCUGGUUGUUUGUUUGUGUCUAAUCUGUUCUACUGCUACUCUCACAUUUAUUGUACAUUUAUUAUGUGUCAGACACUGUGCUAACAGUUUGUUAUGUGCAUUAUUUCAGUUGAGUCUCACACGUUUAUAUGAGGUGAGUAUGCUCCCAUUUGAGCGUGGUGUAGUAUUAAGUGGUAAAGUCUGCAUGUUUUGAGGCCACACAGCUUGAGUUUACAUCCUGGCUUCACCACUUCCCAACUAUAUGACCUGAGACAAAUUAUGUAACCUCUCAAAGCUUCAGUAUCCUUAUCUAUAAGAUGGGGGAUACAAAUAUGGGGAUGAGAAUAAUAUCUAUCUCAGGCAGUUUUUCUGAGUUUUAGGUAAAUACAAAUGCACAGAACACCUCCUGUCACCCAGCAGAUGCUCAAAUGUUAUUGGAGGAAACCUAGGCUUAGUAGCUGAGUGAUUUUUCCAGAGUCUCCAGCUCGUAAAGGUAAAGAGUGGGAUUCCAACCCAGCUACCUUGGCCAAUUGCUAUGCUUGUGUUACUCAAACUACAGGCUAUAAUACCUCCUUCUGAGUGAGCUGUGAGUUCCUUGAGGGUAGAGAUGUGUUCCUUCUUCCUGGCACAGUGUUUUGCAGACUGUAAAUGCUCCAUUAACUUCAAAUGUAUGGUUAUAAUUUAAUUUAGAUUUUCUACAUUUAUGCCAAAGUCAGGCCAAAAGCAAAACAAUGAC